CAAUGUGGAUAAAAAAGCAUUAAUUUGGUCAGAAGAAAGUGAAUACUAAAGGAUUAAAAUGGGUCUUGGGGCAAUUUUGAAGAAGUUACUUCGUCUAAUGUGGUCAAGGAAACAAGAAUCAUCAAAUGCAGUGGUAGAAAUGGGAAAUUAAUAAACAUGUUAGAUAGACUUGUGAACUCCCUUUUAUGGUAGAAAGGUGUGUAUAUACGAGAAAACCUCGGAAGUAUAAUCGAGAAGAUAAUGAGUUCUAUAUAUCAUUCAUUGUUACUGAAAAAUCCAAGUGGGCAGACAGACCUGACAAAACUUUAAUUCCAGAAAAUAUUCCAAAGUGUAGAAAACACUCUGAAAACAGAAAGCUAACUAAUGUUAUUCACAUCAACACUUUAUAAAUGAACAAAAUCACUUUUUUUUUUUUACUCCACUUU